rnacentral:lncRNA from 1 species
AAAAUAACCCUUCCUUCCCAUAAAUCCAGAGUGAAAACAAAGAGAAUGCAUAAUCCACCUGCCUUGAUUCAGGACCAUGUAAAUUACAUCAGCUGCAGUCAUAGAUUUUGUCAGCCUCCAAGAAAUCAUCCCCAUAGGACCAAAAUCCAGACACGUGGGAAGAUUACCUUUCUCUGAUGUCUUGGGAUUGAACUGAGCUAUGUGGCUAGUUACAGGCCAAUAGGCUGUUAGCAGAUGUGACAUCUAACACAACUAGGCUGCAGUUUGAAAUAAAUACCAGUGCACAGCCUCCAGAAUUCCUCCCCUGCUAAGGUGACUGAGAAGACCUCAGCUGAGAUGGUGGGAAAAAAAAAUAUUCAAGCAGCUUGGAUAACGAAGUUCCUAAAUGGAAGAACAUUGUCCCAGAGAGUCACUUGAACCCAGAAUAGAUUUACGUGAUCAGACAAUAAACCUCUAUGACACCCUGAGUUUAUUUUGUUUUUUGAUUUUGUUACUGCAGCAUAACUCAACAUACCCUGACUGGUAUAGUCAUGGAGAUUAUCAUCAGGAUCUCCUAUGCUCCUGCAUAUGACACAGCCAGAGUUCUGCAGACAUUUAACUUUGGGCAUCUAAAUAUCAUAAAUGC